rnacentral:rRNA from 1 species
UAGGGAAUCUUCCGCAAUGGACGCAAGUCUGACGGAGCAACGCCGCGUGAGUGAAGAAGGAUUUCGGGUCGUAAAACUCUGUUGUUAGAGAAGAACAGCGCAUAGAGUAACUGUUAUGCGUGUGACGGUAUCUAACCAGAAAGCCACGGCUAACUACGUGCCAGCAGCCGCGGUAAUACGUAGGUGGCAAGCGUUGUCCGGAUUUAUUGGGCGUAAAGCGAGCGCAGGCGGUUAGAUAAGUCUGAAGUUAAAGGCAGUGGCUCAACCAUUGUAGGCUUUGGAAACUGUUUAACUUGAGUGCAGAAGGGGAGAGUGGAAUUCCAUGUGUAGCGGUGAAAUGCGUAGAUAUAUGGAGGAACACCGGUGGCGAAAGCGGCUCUCUGGUCUGUAACUGACGCUGAGGCUCGAAAGCGUGGGGAGCGAACAGG